GUGCCAGCAGCCGCGGUAAUUCCAGCUCCAAUAGCGUAUAUUAAAGUUGUUGUGGUUAAAAAGCUCGUAGUUGAACCUUGGGCCUGGCUGGCCGGUCCGCCUCACCGCGUGCACUGGUCCGGCCGGGCCUUUCCCUCUGUGGAACCCCAUACCCUUCACUGGGCGUGGCGGGGAAACAGGACAUUUACUUUGAAAAAAUUAGAGUGCUCCAGGCAGGCCUAUGCUCGAAUACAUUAGCAUGGAAUAAUAAAAUAGGACGCGCGGUUCUAUUUUGUUGGUUUAUAGGACCGCCGUAAUGAUUAAUAGGGACAGUCGGGGGCAUCAGUAUUCAACUGUCAGAGGUGAAAUUCUUGGAUCAGUUGAAGACUAACUACUGCGAAAGCAUUUGCCAAGGAUGUUUUCAUUAAUCAGGAACGAAAGUUAGGGGAUCGAAGACGAUCAGAUACCGUCGUAGUCUUAACCAUAAACUAUGCCGACUAGGGAUCGGACGGUGUUAUUCAUGACCCGUUCGGCACCUUACGAGAAAUCAAAGUGCUUGGGCUCCAGGGGGAGUAUGGUCGCAAGGCUGAAACUUAAAGAAAUUGACGGAAGGGCACCACCAGGGGUGGGGCCUGCGGCUUAAUUUGACUCAACACGGGGAAACUCACCAGGUCCAGACACAAUAAGGAUUGACAGAUUGAGAGCUCUUUCUUGAUUUUGUGGGUGGUGUGCAUGGCCGUUCUUAGUAGUGGGGUGACUUGUCUGCUUAAUGCGAUAACGAACGAGACCUUAACUGCUAAAUAGCCCGCAUUGCUCCGGCAGUGCGCUGCUUCUUAAGAGGGACUUUCGGCCUCCAAG
rnacentral:rRNA from 1 species